rnacentral:rRNA from 1 species
GCCUAAAAUGCCCUAAAGACACCCGAUCCGUUCCACUCUUGGAAGCUAAGCAGGGUCAGCCCCGGUUAGUAUUUGGAUGGGAGACUGCCAAUGAAUAUUCUGUAUAUUAGGCU